CAUAGAGAGAGAGAGAGAGAGAGAGAGAGAGAGAGAGAGAGAGGGAGAGGGAGGGGGGGAUAGAGAACAACAAUAAAACAUGGGUUGGCAAUGAUUUGAAUGUGAAUAUACUGAUACCAAAAUUUCAGUUUGGCUCAAGCACAUCGACGAAUUGGCAGCGGCAAUGGGAAGGGGAAAAAUAUAGUUUGUGUACAGUGUUCCAGCUUCCCAUCAACAAAAGACGUAGACAUCUAAAUAAACUCCAAAUUCAAUUCCAAACCUACGAAGAAUUUUGUCUAUCUUGUUUUGAAGAAGUUGGUGAAAAGUUCUGGCAAUGCAAUGAGCUUCGAUGUUAGCUCCAGGACUUCCAAUAAGUUAGAAUGGUAACUGAAAUCUAUCCAGACCAUUUCUAUUCUGUUGUCCUCUAAACAGAACAGGUGUUCCUACAAAAAUGAAAACAUCAUUCGACAAAUGGAAAGAAACAAAAUGAACCAUACAAAUUGCAAAAUUGUAUUAUUGUCUCUUUCACAUGUGGCUGACUAUAUUUAUUAAUGAAAGUCUAGCUAAUAGACAAGUAAGCACGAAAAGGUCCAAAAUUGAAAUGGGUACAACAGCUAACUCAAAAGCCAAAAAUAGAAGAAUCCCACGUAACUGAUUUCAGGUUAUGUGUGAAAGCAAUAAAAAGAGGCCAAAAUUCCAAUCCACUCCAUUAACACGUCAUAGUGAAUGAUAGCCCCAAUAUUUAAUUCAAAAACAAAGAGAAGAGAAACUAAACAUCAUUGAAACAAUUGAAUGGUGAAUAAGUGUGAAGCACCAUAACCAUAACACCUACCAUGAUGAUAGAGUGAAAUGCUUAUGGAUCACAAGCUUGGCAUGUUCUCAUUCGAAAAAAAUUUAAAAACAAUUAAAAAAAAAAACACCAAGGCUUUACAUGUUCCCAAGGUUAAGGGCAAGAUUACUUUUGUUGUACUUGUUUCUUUUAUUAUUCAAUUUGUGCAGGCCUCACCGACCCACAGGUCCAACUCGCACUCAUGAUGAUGGCUGAAUUUUGUUUUUCAUGCCAUGUGUUUCUGCAACAAACAAGGAAUUUCUCACUAGAUAUAUAUGUCUUCUGGAUGGAAUUGCUAUUACACUGUUCUUCCCAUCACUGCCGCUAUACAACCGAAGGGGAAGCCAACCAACAGAUUCCAUGUAUGCCGUCUAGAGAAUUCUUUUCAGUAGUUAUCAGAUUUCAGAUUCUAAAAAUUCAAAAUAUUUCAUACGCUUUGGCGAUUUCAAUAUCGUGGAUGUUAUCACAGUUGUUUUCGACAACCAAAUAACUUGGAAGAAGAACCAAUUGACAGAAAGAUCGGAAAACUGUGUGAAUAUGCUGCAAAAAAUCCUUUAUGUAUACCCAAGGUACUAUUUGAUUCUUUUGGAGAUUCUCAUAAUAAUGAGUUUCCUUCGGUCAUUCUAUGUUAAUUUUUUUUGGUUAAACCCAAUGAAACAUAUAAGUAAUGUACAAACACCCAAUUUGAAUUAUUGUUCUAAAAGUAGCUGCUCUUAAAACAUCAUGAACUUGGAAAAAAAUUAUAGAACUUUUUGGUAUUGCAACAUAAAGCUGUAAUUACAACUUCUUGGGGCCUGCAACAUAUAAAUAAUGAUAGUAAGCAUUCCUCUCC